ACCACUUAAUGACAUCACACGGUGGAACUGAGCAUUUUGACCUUUGGUCAAGGGAGGCGCCCAGGAGGCAUCUGGAACAGAUGUGAGAACCACUUCAGCUGACUCCUCUCGACGUGGAAGAGUAGCCCUCUUGUGGUGACCGGUAGUGAUAAGUGCCCCUGGCGCCGAGAGCAUGUUGCCAGUUCAUGAGAGAUGGGCACGAGAUUAAAACCACAAAGACAGCACCGUGUCCUGGCCAUUUCUUCACAACACAACGCAGAUAAACUAUACAACGAACGAAAGAUGAACAGAUGGGUUAUUCCUGCAACCAAGCUGGGCUUUUGCACGACCAAGUUCAGUGUGGUUACAAGAGCAGUGGCUCUACUCUGAGCUCCUCCCAUGUGACUGAGCUCCUCACCCUAGACUUUAGACUUUUAUUGUCCCCAAGGGGAAAUUAAUUUGCACGCACACAGAACUUGUUUGUUACAUACAGCAAAAACCCGGCACAACACAACACACAGACACAUUACAGUACACUCAGUGGGGUCUGGUGUUUAGAAAUGUGAUGGCUGAGGGCAUAAGGCUUCUGCCAAAGCAGGCCCUAUCUCUAAGGGAGCGCUCAGCCACCCUGCAGAAGAAACUCAUUUUGGCUUUGUAUCCAGGAUCUCGUUCUUACUGUCAUUGCCCAAAGCUCAUGACCAUAGGCGAGGGGAGGAUUUUAGAUUGACCGGCAAAUCGAGAGCUUUGCCUUCCGGCUCAGCUCCCUCUUCACCACAAUGGUCCAAUACAGAACGGUGAAACAAAACACAACUCGAGGUAUUUGUUUGAUAAGAUAACAACAAGCUAACAUGACUUCAAGCUCAAGUUGAUUUAGCACAAUAUGAGACCUUUAUAAUGAUGACUAUGCCACAUUUUGUCUUGAUAUUUUUGCAGACAGUUUCUCAUAAUAAUAAAAAUAUCUCAAAGAGUCAUCCGUCCACACAUCUGAUAAUUCCAUGCCCGACAUUCCCAUUUUGCUUUUCUGAUGCUCAUCUGCUAACGCUGCUACUUGUGUUCCG